rnacentral:misc_RNA from 1 species
GGGCUUUUUGCUGGUUUUUACAAAUUAAAGAAUCAAAGAGAUUUUUUCAAUUGUUUCUACAGCUGUUUUGCCUGCAGAUCUUCUGAACAAAAUGAUCCGUUUUAUAUUGCUUCAGAACAGGCAAGGGAAGACUCGUUUGGCUAAGUAUUAUAUACCUCUUGAGGAAUCCGAGAAGCACAAGGUGGAAUAUGAGGUUCAUAGGUUGGUUGUGAAUAGAGAUCCCAAAUUCACCAACUUUGUUGAGUUCCGUACUCACAAGGUAAUAUACAGAAGAUAUGCAGGAUUAUUUUUCUCACUUUGUGUUGAUAUCACAGACAACGAGUUGGCUUAUUUAGAGUCCAUCCACUUGUUUGUGGAGAUUUUGGAUCACUUCUUCAGCAAUGUCUGUGAGCUGGAUUUGGUUUUCAAUUUCCACAAGGUAUAUCUGAUAUUAGAUGAGUUUAUUCUUGCUGGGGAGCUCCAGGAAACAAGUAAGAGGGCAAUCAUCGAGAGAAUGGGAGAGUUGGAGAAGCAGGAGUGAAGAACUCCGAUGCUUUGCUCAAGAGUCAAAACAAACACUUGCCUUUUCCUUCAUCACCUGCACUUCUCUUCCGGCUGGCUGUAUUUACUGCAUUAGACAUUCUGUAUCCUGUUGAUACCUUCAUGUUGAUGUGGCCUCAUUUAAUACAAGAUUUGUUCAUUCAUACAUUUAAAGGUAGUUUGCAAGUUUAAAUAUGAAUGUCUCUAUCUAUUCCCAGUUUAAAUAUGAAUAUCUUUA